rnacentral:rRNA from 1 species
AUGUCGGCGGCGGUGAGGCUGCAGGCUGCUGCGCGCGGCCUCCUAGCGCGUCGGCGUGUGCGGGAGAUGCGUGGUCUGCAGCUGCCGCUCCUCCAAGUUGCCCUUCGCUGCGCAAAGGACCUCGAUCUCAUCCGCUGCGUCGGGGAUCUUGGGCAUGUGGUUUCCCCCACGGGCGGCCGGCAUGCUGUUUUCCCCGUGGGCAGCGACCUCAAAGUCUGCGACAUUGGUGGUUGGGGGGGCGCACCCCUCCUCAUCAUUCUCCAUGGCAAGCCCUCCACUCUUUCAUGUGCGGUGCAGACCAACAGCCGUCCGGCAGGGAGAAGGCAUGGUGUCACCGAUAGGAGCGCAUCGCAUAGCACCACUACAUUACGCCACCGGCCGCCGCGAGGGCACCUCUGCUGGUCACUCUUGCGACCACUUCCAGGUGGCCAUACACAUACACUCCUUUUGUCCAGGUGGUGUCCAUGGGAUCCAGGUGGCUGUACACGUGCACGCCCGACGAGCGGAUGGUGUCCACUUUUUGUUAAGGGGUCCAAAAUAAAGCGUCCCAGUCCAUUUUAG